rnacentral:tRNA from 1 species
GUGAGGAUAGCUCAGUUGGUCAGAGCAUUGGAUUGUGGUUCCAAGGGUCGUGGGUUCGAGCCCCAUUCUUCACC